GGGAUAUCCACUGGUGGCAAAUGUCACCCACCUGACGAGGUGAGUCAGAGCCGGCCAGGCUGCUGCGGCUGUGGCUCUCAUGGCAGUGGGGGGUCAGGGUUCACAUGAGCACAGUGUCAGGUGCAGGAUAAGAAAUCUGCAUUCGAGGGCCGGGUCUGUGAUAGCUCAGCGGUCUGGUGUGUGACAAGCUUAUGACAAGUCCUGGGUCUGACCAACAGCAGUGCAAUUAAAUAUGUGGGGAGGAUUUUAUGUACAAUUGUGAUGUUUGAAUGACACAUUUUUAUGUGAAUGCCCUCGGGCCUGGUGCAGAUCAAGCACUCAGUAAAUGGUAGCUGCUGUUUGAUUUUGCUCAGCCUCAAGGGCAGCCAGGCCAGUGAGAAGAGCCACUUAUGCUCAGGAUCUCUGCCAGAGCCCAGGGUGUGAGGUCUGGGAGGAGGCAGGGUGUGCAGGGAGCUUGGCUCAGGCCACCCUGGGUGGGGGAGUCUUAGUGGAAGAGGAAUCACCACCUCCUGUGCUUCUCUCUGAGCAGAGCCAGGAUGCCACCAGUGGCCCCAAGGUCCUGGCUCAGAACAAGAAGUCCUCUGCAACCGAGAUCCAGAGUGUCCUGAAGGAGAUACUGCAGACUGGGGCCAGAGGUGGGGAGAGGGAAGGACACUUGGGUGAUAGAUGUACCUGA
rnacentral:lncRNA from 1 species